rnacentral:rRNA from 1 species
UGGAAGCAGCUAUUCCUUUAAAGAGUGCGUAACAGCUCACUGGUCGAGCGACAGAGCAUCGAUAAUAAUCGGGCAUCAAGUAUAGUACCGAAGCUCAGGAUUUGCAGCAAUGCAAGUGGUAGGGGAGCAUUCUAUCAUCGGAGAAGCCGAGGGGUCACCUGAGGUGGAGAGGAUAGAAAAGCAAAUGUAGGCAUAAGUAACGAUAAGGCAGGUGAGAACCCUGCCCACCGAAAGACUAAGGUUUCCGCGGCAAUGUCAAUCAGCCGCGGGUAAGUCGGGGCCUAAGGCGAAUCCGAAAGGAAUAGUCGAUGGACAACUGGUUAAUAUUCCAGUACCGACUGCAAGAGCGAUGUGGAGAAGGAGUAGUGAAAGUUCCGCGCACAGACGAAAGGGCGUUUAAGGGCGUAGGUAUAUCUUAUACAGGCAAGUCCGUAUUUGAUGCUGAAAUCCGAAAGUACAAGGAGGCUUCGGCCGAAUUGAGUGAACCUAAUCAGACUUCCGAGAAAAUCCGCUAAGCAUAUUUUGCAGUUGCCCGUACCGCAAACCGACACAGGUAGUCGAGGAGAGAAUCCUAAGGUGCUCGAGAGAUUCAUGGCUAAGGAACUCGGCAAAAUUAACCUGUAACUUCGGGAGAAGGGUUGCCUACUUCAGCAAUGAAGAGGUCGCAGAGAAAUGGCCCAGGCGACUGUUUAACAAAAACACAUGGCUAUGCGAAAUCGCAAGAUGAAGUAUAUGGCCUGACACCUGCCCGGUGCUGGAAGGUUAAGGGGGGAAGUUAGCCGCAAGGCGACGCUUUGAACUGAAGCCCCAGUAAACGGCGGCCGUAACUAUAACGGUCCUAAGGUAGCGAAAUUCCUUGUCGGGUAAGUUCCGACCUGCACGAAUGGUGUAACGAUCUGGCCGCUGUCUCAGCCAUGAGCUCGGUGAAAUUGUAGUAACGGUGAAGAUGCCGUUUACCCGUCACGGGACGGAAAGACCCCAUGAACCUUUACUAUAGCUUCACAUUGGUAUUGGGAAGAUGAUGUGUAGGAUAGGCGGGAGGCAAUGAUCUGGUGGCGCUAGCUAUCAGGGAGUCAACGGUGAAAUACCGCCCUUUAUUUUUCCGAUACCUAACCACUGUAUAGUGGGACAUUGUGUGGUGGGUAGUUUGACUGGGGUGGUCGCCUCCGAAAGUGUAUCGGAGGCUUUCAAAGGUAUGCUCAGUACGCUUGGUAACCGUACGUGGAGUGCAUUAGCAUAAGCAUGCUUGACCGUGAGACAGACAAGUCGAUCAGGCGCGAAAGCGGGAUAAAGUGAUCCGGUGGUUCUGCAUGGAAGGGCCAUCGCUCAAAGGAUAAAAGGUACUCUAG